UUCACUGUUGUACACAGACACUCCUCCUAACUGAAGUACGAGACGCUUUUUAACACUUAAAUUUCACCUGUAGCCUAUAUCAUUAUCAGCCGCAUCCACAUUGAGAAGAAACCUGGAAUCAACUUAUUUACCCUUUACUUGCUAAAUGUAACAAUUGGGAACACGGCAUUGUCAUCUAACCACAACACAAGCCCGGUGAGACCUUUUCGCAACCCGUCUUUCACACGUCGCAGUUCCGGGUCUUUUUGUAGGUUGGGAUAGUGACUAUGGAAGUAUGAGCGACGCGCUGGAGUUGAAGCCCAUUCAAGUUGUCUGUGACAACAAUAACGUCUCGAGUGACCAAACGAUUGAGGUGAUUCCAGGGAAUGGUGCUUGCUCAGGCCACGUCAGUUCAGAGAGAAAUGAAGAGUCCCCUUUGCUAUCAACAACACAGGUUGCUGAGGACAAUAGGGAACAGCACCUCCAUGUGGAUGGAGGCGUCGAUACUGACUCUCUAAGUCAACCCAAGUGGCAGAGGGAGCUGCGGAGAGUCAAGAGAGAACUGAAUGAGGUGGUGGUGUGGAAACUCAAACUAUGGACAUUGAUACUUAUCAUCUUUAUUGCCAUUGCUCUGGUUAUUGGGAUCUCAAUCAUUGUGUGCGCAGGAAAC
rnacentral:lncRNA from 1 species